AAGUGGAUGUUCUCUUCAUUUUACAGGUGAGAACACUGGAGUUCAGACAGCCUGGAAACUGUGCUAAAGUCAGGAUCUGGUUCCAAAUCUGCCUCCAGAGCCUGGGCUUUAUUCCUCAGCUAUAGCCUGCUUCCCCAACCUCCAUCCGGAUUAGGAUACUCGACUACGUCCUCUUUCCAUAGGCUGAUAUCCACAGUUUUACCUUCAUUUGAGAAGAAAGAUACUGGAAGCUGAGAGACUUUAAAAUAAUGACAGUCUCUUUUGGAACACGUUUCUAUGAACUGCAGCAGAAUGCAGAAAUCACCAAACCUUUGUGAUUGUGGAUAUCCAUUGGAUUUAUUUAAAGCCCAAUCCUCUUCACAGAAGAAGGUCCUUUCCAGAUAAGAGGAGAUAACUUUAAGCUCCCCGCACCCCCUAGCGAUGGGACCAUAGCAACUGCCUACUCACCACCCCUUACCGGGUCGACCACCAUCACCACCACUUACCAGCACCACAGCGCCACCUGAGCCUGCCAGCAGAGAGCCACUAGACCACUCUUCUAGAAACACUGGUGUUUUCCAGAUGUCUCCCUUGCUUACAGAUCUCCUAUGAUUCCCCAUCAUUAACAGAAUAAAGCGAAAACCUCUCAGCCUGACGUUCCUGAGUCCUCUCUUGUCCUGUGAUGAAAGCCGACCCAGAAGCAAAUUCUGAGGGAAAUGUAAGUCUUGUUUCCGAAUUAUUCCUGCUCUUGUGUAGGGAGCGUGCCAGCCUUGUCUUCAAACACUCGUCCUGCCCAGGCUCCUCAACCUUCUUGUCAGUUUCAGCCGUACCUUCACCUCCGUCGACUGGUAACACGUGUGGAUCAGAGCUUAAUCAAUGACACAGACUGUCGGUGGCACAUGCCAUCAGCACUUCAGAGACUUCUCAAGGAGAAUAUAUUUUAUACUGGUGUGAACCUGGACCAUCUGAGAGCUCCUUCCCAGGACCAGAAUAUCUUGACCCGUAGGUAGAAAUGCUUCCCUGAACUCUGCUCCUCCCCUAUUGGUUCAUCUCUUCACUUUUCCUCAAACACACUCUAUUAUCAUCCCUCCCAUGUAGCUUUGCUGACAUCUGUCCUUCCACCUCCUCCCGGCAGCUCCCAUCCCAGCCUUCCUCAACCUCCCUCCUCUGAACUCGGGUAUGUCACUCAUUUGUUCUGACACUUUGAAUUCCCCGAAUUCUUAAAAUUCGUGGGGAUGGUGGGAGUUUUUCAGUGAAUACUGGGCGGGAAGAUAUUCUCCUGAAUUCUCUUAUUGUACCAUGUUUGUGGUUUCAAUUUUUAAAAAUAUUAUCUAAAUCUCUGAUACAUUUGGAACUUGUUUUGGUGUGAUACAUGAAUUAAGAAAACAAUUUUACCAUUUGUCUCAACACCCAAUUAUUCAAAAUCAAAUCUCCCUGGUGAUUGGAAAUGCCAUCUUCAUUAUAAUUUAAGUUCUCAUCUAUUUGGGAUCUCUUUUUAUGGUUCUACAUUCUGUUCAACUGAUCUGUCUAGCCAUGCAAUGAUGUAAAACCAUUUUAGUACUUAUGGCUUUUUAAAUCUAUUUUGAUAUUUGCUAGAGCUGGUCUUUUUUUCAUUAUUCUUGUUUUUCAAAAACUUCCUGGUUAUCACCUGUUUAUUUUUCCAUAUGAACUUAAUAAUCCUCUUGUCUGGUCUUCCUCCACCAAACUCCUGUUGCUGACAUUAUCAGAUCUGAAUUUCAAAAAUCAUUCUGGCUACGGUGUAGAGAACAAGGGUACAUGAGGGAAGACCAGUGAGAAAUGCUAUCGCACGAGUUCACGAGAGACGUGAGGGUAACCUGGACUAGGAGGGUGACAGUAGAGAUGGAGAGAAAAAUAGGAUCAAGUGAUACAGAAAAAUUAAAACUGGCAGGACUUGGUGAUGAGUGUGAUUUGGCAGUUUAGGAAGAGGUAGGUGGUUUUCAAGUCUUGCCCGGAGCAACCCUGGGAUUUAGUCCAGUUCUAUAAAGACCCCAAUCUGGAUCAAUCCAAGGAUGCACUGUUAGUUUGGGAGUUGCCCUGAAAAGCAGGGUGCUCUUGGAAAAAGACCUGGAGCUCUUCUGUAAAGAGAUAUCAUUGGUUCAGACAAGAUACCCCAAAGUGAAUUGCUUCCCCCAACCCGUGUCAGGUAUCAGGAAUACCAAACCAGUUUCUAGAGCAUUUCACAGGCUGUGGGAGUGUACCCAUGACCUCAAACCUCAUGGCUCUAAAUGGCAACAGUGUAUUCUGAGACAUUCUGUUACAUCAUAUUUGGGGACUGCAGAGCCAACUUGUGGUUAGUGAAGAAAAAGUACAAUACUUCAGAAGUUUUCCUUUCUUCAGUUCCUCAGAAAGUGAAAUUACCAUAAGAUUCCACUCCUAGGUAGAUUACACCCAAAAGAAUUACAAAUGGGAACACAAAGAGAUCCUUAUAUACCAAUGUUCAUAGCAGCAUUAUUCACGAUAGCCAAAAGGUGGAAACAGCCCAAAUAUCCAUCAUCAGAUGAGCAGAUAAACAAAAUGUUCUAUAGCCAUACAAUGGAUGCAGCCUUCUAAAGGAAGGAAAUUCUGACACAUGCUACAACAUGGAGGGACCUAGAAAGCAUUAUGGUGAAAUAAGCCAGAAACAAAAGGACAAAUAUUGUAUGAUUCCAUUUAUGUAAAGGUACCUAGAAAAGGCAAAUUCAUAGAAACAGAGAGUAGAAUAGAGGUUACCAGGGACUGGAGGAAGGGGGAAAUGGGAAGUUAUUGUUAAAUAGCGUCUGUUUGGGAUGAUGAAAAGGUUCUGGGAAUAUGUGGUGGUGAUGGUUGCACAACGUUGAGAACUUAAUGCCACUUAAUUGUACAAUUAAAAUUGGUUAGGGCUUCCCUGGUGGCUCAGUGGUUAAGAAUCUGCCUGCCAAUCCAGGGGACACAGGUUCGAGCCCUGGUCCGGGAAGAUCCCACAUGCUGCAGAACAACUAAGCCCAUGUGUCACAACUACUGAGCCUGUGUGCCACAACUACUGAACGUGCGCUCUGGAGCCCGCGAGCCACAACUACUGAGCCUGCAUGCCACAACUACUGAACCCCGUGUGCCUAGAGCCCGUGCUCCACAACAAGAGAAGCCACCGCAGUGAGAAGCCCACGCACCACAACGAAGAGUAGCCCCCGCUCGCCGCAACUAGAGAAAGCCUGCGCGCAGCAACAAAGACCCAACACAGCCAAAAAUAAAAAAACAAAUAAAUAAAUAAAUAAAAUUGGUUAAAAGGGUAAAUUUUAUGUGUAUUUUACCAAAUUUGGAAUGUAUAGAAAAAAAUCACUAUGUUGUCUAACAGAAAUUAACAUAUUAUUACAGGUCUAUACUUCGAAAACAAACUCAUAGAAAAAGACCUCAGAUUUGUGGAUGCCAGAGAUGGGGAAUAGGGGGAGGGGGAAUUGGAGGAAAGCAGUCAAAAGGCACGAACUUCCAGUUAUAAGAUAAAGAAGUACUAGGGAUGUAAUGUACAACAUGGUAAAUAUAAUGAGCACUGCUGCGUGUUUUAUAUGAAAGUUGUUAGGAGAGGAAAUCCUAAGAGUUCUCAUCGCAAGGAAAACAAUUUUUUUCUAUUUCUUUAAUUUCGCAUCUCUAUGAUAUGACGGAUGUUCACUGAACUUAUUGUGAUCAUCAUUUCGUGGUGUAUGUAAGUCAAAUAAUUAUGCUGUACACCUGAAACUCAUACAGUGCCGUAGGUCAAUUAUAUAAACUGGAAGAAAAAAUGGUAAAUUUUAUGUUAUGUGUAUUUUACCAAAUUAAAAAAAGAAUAUAUUUUUUAAAGUUUUCUUUUCUUACAAAAGAAUGUGUCAUAAUAGAGGCACCUCCCCUCACCACCGAGACAAAUUAUGAUCAUGUUAUUAGAGCUAUAAGUCGUAUUAGCUCUCUGAGACCUACGUUUUGCAGAGUAGGCAACAUACUCUCUUACCCAAAACAAUACAAAAUAUUUUGGGAAACAAACUAUAUAGCCUGCAUCUCCGGAAAUCCCCUCCCAAGUGGCUAACCACAAAGGGAGGAAACAUAACAAGGUGAAACCAAAAGUUUACAGUCAAAACUUAGAGUCCAUGUUAUUUCGUUGUGUACUAGACCAAUGCAGUGCAAACGUGCACUCGGGAAUGAUACGAUUGCAGCAGUGAAGCUUUCUCUGCCUUGGUCUUUUCUUUAUGCCAUCAUUUAGGGAUAAUCUUGUUCCCAAAUGUCUUUUGAAGCAAAUAGGUCUAAGGCAUUCGAUUAAACAGAAGCUAUUUAAAACUCACUUGGCAAAUCACCUGAAUAUUAAGUUAAUAGAAUUAGGCAGUAUCCUUUGAAGAGCUCUGAAGACAGCUAUGGAUGAAACUGUGUUACUGUUGAUAAAACUGAUGUUACAAAUAACCGCUGAGCUAGAGACUAUCAAGCUGCCAAUGCUGCUUCCAUGCAAAAAAAUAUAUAUUUGUUCCAGAGGACACCCUAAGAGGAAUCCAUCAUAAAAUGUAGGAGCAUCUAAAUGCAAGAAUGAUCAAUCCAUUGAGUGAAUAGUAACAUGUUUUCCAGAAAAAAGAAAGGAUAAUUGAUUAAAAUUGUACAAAUAAGUGGAUGUAAAUUAUUUAUAGUGAUAAAAUUCUUUGGCAAAAUUCUACACAAGCAAAUUUUUCUAACCACAUGGUCAUUACGAUAUUAAAGAGUGUGCAAAGGUUCAAGUGUUGGCUCAAUGACAGUAAAUGAAGGGUAGGAAUAAAGGGAAAUGCUUCUCAAGGGAGGAAGGUAAUAGCCCUUUCAAGUCGUUGCUAUGUAUCAUGAAGAUAUGUGAACUUUGAAAUCUACAAGUUUAUGGAUAUCAGUGAGCUUGGGAAGAUACCAAGUUAAGGAAGAUAAGUGUAACAGGAUGGUAAAAUGAAAUUUUCAGCUGAGGCCCCUGAAAUAGACACCACAUUCUAAAGAGGUACAAGAAUACUCAAUGCAGGAUUUAUAAAGCAGAUGGCAUAAUUUUAAAAAUAACCACUACACACAGAUUAGAAGGACCAAAAUUUGGAACUUCGACAACACCAAGUGUUGGCCAGGCUGUGGGCAACAGGAACUCUCAUUCGUUGCUGGUGGGAAUGCAGAAGGACACAGACACUGUGGGAAACAGUUUGGGGUUCUUACAAAACAAAACAUACUAUACAAUCCAGCAAUCACACUCCUUGGUAUUUACACAAAGGAGUUGAAAACUUAUGUCCACACAAAAAUCUGCACACGGAUGUUUAUAGCAGCUUUAUUCACAAUUGUCAAAACUUGGAAGCAACCCAGAUGUCCUUCAGUAAGUGAAUGGGUAAAUAAACUGGUACAUCCAGACAAUGGAAUACUAUUUAGCACUAAAAAGAAAUAAGCCAGCAAGCCAUGAAAAGAUGUGGAAGAACCUUAAAUGCAGACUACUAAGUGAAAGAAGCCAGUCUGGAAAGGCUGUAUGAUUCCAACUAUAUGACAUUCUGGAAAAGAAAAAACUAUGAACACAGUAAAAAUAUCAGUGGUUUUCCGGGAUGAGGGUGGAGGGUGUUAAUAGGGGGAGCACAGAAGAUUUUUUAGGGCAGUGAAAAUACUGUGUAUUAUAAUGAUGGCUAUAUGUCAUUGUACAUUUGUCUAAAUCCAUAGAAUGAAUGUGUAACACCAAGAGUGAAUUUUAAGGUAAACUGUGGACUUUUGGGUAAUUAUGAUGUGACAGUGUAGGUUUGUCAAUUGUAAGAAAUGUAUCAUUUUGGUGAGUGAUGUUGAUAACGGGAAAGGCUAUAUAUGUGUGGGUACCAGGGGUAUAUGAGAAAUCUAUGUAUCUUCCUCUCAAUUUUGUUGUAAACCUAACACUACUGUAAAAAAAAAAAUUAAGUCUAAAAUA